CACCCCGAAAUUACAAAUUCUUAUAUUUAAAAAUUUAAUGUUGGUAAUAAACAAAAUAAACUAACUAGGAAUAAAUAACCUAGUUAGUUACAAGUUUUGUAGAAAUAAAGAACAUGGUUAGGACAACCUUUAAAUAACUUGGGUAAAGUUGAGGGACUAAACAUGGGCAAAUGGAAUGAAGUUUCAAUUAAAUAAAAUUAAAUAAACAAAAACACACACAUACGUGUGUGUGUUCCUGCGAUUUCAACCAGAGCCAAAAAGGGCUCUCAAGCUCAAGCCCUAAUCUUGCUAAAUUGAUCAAAUUGAGAGACCAAAACGAAUCAAAAUUGAUACCCGAGCAUAAAUUAGUGAUCAUCUCAGUAAAGUGACCAUAAGGUAAAGGGAUCGAAUCCUCAAGCAGACAAGCCGGAACGGAUACGCGCUUGAAAGGAACGCUCUAAAGGUGAAGUAGGUGAUAUUCCGGAUGGCGAUCAAGCAAAUAACAAGAACCGAACACAUUACUUUUGAAGCUUCCGCAAGAAUAUAUUUUGUUUUAGAUGAAAAUGGAACAUGUAACUCUUGAUGCCACAUUAUGUAUGUUUUAAACUAGUAAGGAUGUAAAUCCUAGGUACUUUAAUCAUGUAGGAACUUUAAACUUAGCGGAAAUUUUUUGUUAAUCCGUAUUUUUCUUAAAUUAAAGGUUAUUUAGUAGUAAAUUCAUGAUAAAUUGAGACGGGUCUUACAAUUUGUGUUUAGUAUUAUUAAUAACUUAUUAUUAUUAUUAUUAUUAUUAUUAUAUAAUGCAUUUUUUUUAAUUGUAUUAACAGAUUUUCUGCAAUAUGAAUAAAAAGAAGAUGAAUCCCAGUUUUUUUUUUUUAAAUUUAUCGAUGAUCAAAAUUGUUCUACUUGGUAUGUUACAUUACUCUUUUUUAUAUUAAAUUUUAUUAAGCUUGCUUAUCUAUAAUAUAUUAAAAAGGAGAAGUGAUGUACAAGAUGGUAAUUUUGCCACACGUAUCAAUUUUAAAGCAAUAUGUACAAGGUGCCUAAAGCCAUUUAAGUUGCAAGUUCUCCAAAAUUUUAAGACACCUUAGGGGUAAAUUAGGGUUUUCACCCAUUGAAUUGAAUGGGAUUCGAUGCUGACCUGCAAAUGAAGCGUCUCUUUGGGGGAUUUCAGUAUAUAGAUGAUUGAAUGAAUGUUUCAGUUUUAGAUCGGUUGAAUUCCUUCAAUCCUACUUUAAUUCAUCUUCUGGUUCCUCUUACCGAAUGAAUCUACCGGUGAUGGUGGCGAAGGGUUUUUUUAAACCCCUAAUCGACUUCCAAAAUUGUGAGUAAUCAAGGAAUACCUUCAGAGAUAUCGAAUGGAUUUGUAACUGAUGGAGAGAAAUUGAUAGAGAAAGGGACUGAAAUUAGGGAACUGCCGACGGUAGCGAUCAGAAUUCACGAAUCAAUCAAUCUUCUUCAACACUCCUAUUUCGACAUUAGAACAUCCAAAACUUAAUCGUGCUCCUUCUACAACAUUCAUCGACUCUCACUCAGGAUUUGAAGGAAACAAGAAGAGCAAGGAAGAUGACAAGCCCAUAUCUGAUAUGUUUGUUUACUGAUUGCUGUGUCAGGAAAAGCGUUGCAGGACUCUAAUAUUCGCGAGAUGGUAUCUGGUGCACGCUCGUUUGCAACCAAAC